rnacentral:rRNA from 1 species
CCUACGGGAGGCAGCAGUAGGGAAUCUUCCACAAUGGACGAAAGCCUGAUGGAGCAACGCCGCGUGGGUGAAGAAGGUCUUCGGAUCGUAAAACUCUGUUGUUAGAGAAGAAAGUGCGUGAGCGUAACUGUUCACGUUUCGACGGUAUCUAACCAGAAAGCCACGGCUAAAUACGUGCCAGCAGCCGCGGUAAUACGUAGGUGGCAAGCGUUAUCCGGAUUUGUUGGGCGUAAAGGGAACGCAGGCGGUCUUUUAAGUCUGAGGUGACAGCCUUCGGCUUAACCGGAGUAGUGCAUUGGAAACUGGGAGGCUUGAGUGCAGAUGAGGAGGGUGGAAUGCAAGGUGUAGCGGUGAAAUGCGUAGAGAUAUGGAAGAACACCAGUGGCGAAGGCGGCUCUC